rfam:Tupaia chinensis contig173170, whole genome shotgun sequence.
CCAAAGGCUCUUUUCAGAGCCACCCACAAAUCUGGUAAAUGGGCU